CACAACAGAUCAACACCAACAUCCUCACACAAUUUUCUUGACCAGACAAGAGUGGAAGAAAUUGAACAUCUACAUGGCUUCAACCAGAGCGGCUGUGGGGGAGCCAGCUAGGGCAGAAGCACCAGACUUUCAGACCUGCUACAGGGGCAACCCACCACUUCCCCCGUCACCACCGUGAUCCUCAGAUUCAUCUGGCAGAUUCAACUGAGAGGUUUUCCAGACACUGGCUUUAUCCCACCACCACAAGGAUCACGACUUCCGGGGAUCCUGUCCUCUCUCCAAUUUUCCCGAACGUACAUUUAAUGAGGAUACUUUUUUAAAU